GGGUGAGUAACACGUGGGUAACCUGCCCAUCAGAGGGGGAUAACAGUUGGAAACGACUGCUAAUACCGCAUACGAUCUAACCUCGGCAUCGAGGAUGGAUGAAAGGUGGCCUCUAUUUAUAAGCUAUCACUGAAGGAGGGGAUUGCGUCUGAUUAGCUAGUUGGAGGGGUAACGGCCCACCAAGGCGAUGAUCAGUAGCCGGUCUGAGAGGAUGAACGGCCACAUUGGGACUGAGACACGGCCCAGACUCC
rnacentral:rRNA from 1 species